rnacentral:tRNA from 1 species
UAUAUUUUAGUGUAAAGGCACUUUAAGUUUUGAUCUUAAAAGAAAUGGUGAAAUUCCAUUAAAUAUAA